GAAGACAACAUCUUAACUCUCCCAAAACACCACCAUCAUCACAAACAACCCCAUUUUGUGAAUUUUCUUCAGCUAUUCUUUAUCUCCCAGAACUACUUUCCUUCCUGUUUUUCUUUCUCUCAAGCGCAUACAGCUUUUCUCAAGGAUACUUUUCACAUUAAGGAUUUCCCGGUUCAUUAUGUGGCCAAGAGUGAUUAUUACUUUUACAACUUUCUAUCAUAUAAACUUAUUAUUUAUCAUUUACUGGAUUGAUGGUAAAUGAUAUACUUUAUUAGUUGGUUAAGCAAUUAUGAUUUCAUUGAUUAAACAAAGCUAAAGAGAUGAGUACUGAAAACAAGAGAGACGCUGAGUUUGGUUAUGGAGUGGGUGAAGUUGAUUCCUCAAUGCUUUGCAUCCUGGCUUAAUAUAUGACACUAAGUAAGAGGAUUAAGGUGAGUUUUGCUUCUUUUUUUGAUUAAUUCUAGAAAAAUCAAUCCAAUUCUUGUUAUUAAGUAAUAUUUAGAUAAAUUUAUAUUAAAUUAAAGUUUUAAUUUUUAUAUUUUAUUCAUUAAAAAAAUAGUCAUGCUAUUGUUUUAAACAAUUUUGGUAUAAUUUCCAAUUUUUAUUAAAAGAAAUGUGCUAAUAUGUAAUUGUUUUAACAGCGGCCACCUUUGAGAUGAUAUAGACAGUUUUAGUUCUUUCAUCCUAUUUUAAAUGUUACUUACAUUUUUUUUUUAAAUAUGAUAAAGACACAUUAUGCUCCAUUUUUUACAUAGUUGAGCGUCUCUAAAAAUAAUUAAAUGGAUAUUUGAGUUCUUGCAACAAAAAAUUUAAAACCACAUUUGUCCUUGAGCUCUUCCACUCAAAUUUACUUUAUUCUAAUUUUUAAAAAAUUAUAAAUUAAAUUAUUUUAUAUUAAUCGUCCUUCUUAUUUUUAUUUUUUCUUCUGUAUAAAUAAUUAAAACCACGUAAUGUAUUUAUAAUUUAAUUAUUAACUGUGAUAAAGUUGUCUAUGUGUAAAACAAUCGACACGUUGAAAAUGAAAUUUAGAUACGUAUGUGAUUAAUUCAUGUGUUUUCUUUAAGAACUCUAUUAUUUACUUAAGCUAAUAGAAGGUUGACAGUUUUUGACAUUGUGGUGGGGAGUUAUUGUGGCAUUUUAAGUGGAUUCUUUUCUACUGAUGGUGUUUCUUGGGGUGAGAUCUAGAUUUUUUUUAGCAUGUUUUUUACCUUUUUUUUUUCUCGAACUUUUGUGUAUUUUAUUGGUAUUGUGCGUCUUGUGCAUAUUUAGGAUCUUUAUGUAUUCUUUUGGGGUUUUUAGUUGCCUAUCAUUUAUUUGUUGUUAAAAAAUAAACGAGAGGUUGACUAAUAUAUAUAUAUAUAUAUAUAUAUAUAUAUAUAUAUAUAUAUAUAUAUAUAUAUAUAUAUAUAUAUAUAUAUAUAUAUAUUUUUUUUUUUUGAUUAAGGGGAGGGCCUAAGCCCAAGUGGUUGACUAAUAUAUUUUAAAUAUGCUAAGAGGGUUAAAAUUUUAAGAAACCCCUCUUAAAUCCUCCAACAGACAUUUAUUAAAUUUUAAAGUUUUUGUUGAUCAGUGUUGAUAGACAAUUGUGACAAAAUUCUUUAAGAACUUUACCGACAGUUACAAGUCUUCUAAUCAAUUGAAUAAUGUCCUAAUCACCUAGUUAGACUUCAAAUAUUUUUGGUGAUUUUAAUUAAGAAAGGAGAUAAAAUAUUUUUGCUAUCCAUGAACUUUUACCACUUCUCAAUUAUAAUAGAUUCAUAUUUUCUCUUUUUUUAAUAAUAAAAACACAUCUCUUAGUGAGAUGGUAAAAGAAAAAGCAAAUAGAUAAAAUGUUGCAUGGUUAUACUUCUCUUCACAUGAGUAAAAUGUAUAUACUACAAGAAAAAGGGUUUGCGGGGAUAUUAUUUUUUUUAAUCAAGCUUUUAUUAUAAAGAACCAAUAGUUCUAUCGAAGAGAUUACAAAGAGCGGGACGAAACAAACAAAAGCCCCGGAAAAAAUUUACAAGCCAAAUAUAAUCUAAGAAUAAUACAAAAAAGGGUCAUUUGUAAACUCAAAGAAAUUAUAAUUUUGUGCCGGUAAUUUUCCCGAUGAAGGACCAUCUCCACCAGAGCUCCUUAACACUCCAAACAAUGUCUGAAACACUCCAACUAUAUUUUCGGAAAAUGAUCUCAUUCCUAAACUUCCAAAUAGACCAACAAGCCGACAACCACAACGAUCCAUCCGUACCGGCUCUAACAUUGUGCUUUUUGCAAAAAUUAUGCCAAACCAAAAAACAAUUCCCAAUAUCUUCAAACUUGUAAUCUACCAAACC